rnacentral:tRNA from 1 species
UGGCUUAGUUGGUAGAGCAUGGUGCUUGCAAUGCCGGAGUUGUGGGUUCGAUUCCCAC